UACGUAGGGGGCAAGCGUUGUCCGGAAUCAUUGGGCGUAAAGAGCGUGUAGGCGGCUCGAUAAGUCUGCUGUGAAAGCCUGUGGCUCAACCACAGAAUUGCCUUCGAUACUGUAGAGCUUGAGACCGGAAGAGGUAAGUGGAACUGCGAGUGUAGAGGUGAAAUUCGUAGAUAUUCGCAAGAACACCAGUGGCGAAGGCGGCUUACUGGUCCGGUUCUGACGCUGAGGCGCGAAAGCGUGGGGAGCAAACAGG
rnacentral:rRNA from 1 species